UAGCUGUCGACCUCAUAUGUCAUCACUACAGAUCACUGUGAUCUGAUUCUCUAGCGUCAGUCUAUCUACCUCUCAAAGCUCGGUUCUUAAGCCGCAAAGACAUGGAAGCUGUGUGUUUUUGAAGUGGAGGAUCUGCUUUUGAUGUCGUUGCCAGCCUAAAAUGCCCCAGCUGGUGACCUCUGACAUGUAAAUGGCGUCCAAAGUGCGAGAUGCUGUGGUGUGGUACCAGAAGAAGAUUGGCGCUUAUGACCAACAGAUAUGGGAGAAGUCUGUUGAACAAAGAGAAAUCAAGGGCCUGAGGAACAAGCCAAAGAAGACAGGCCAUGUGAAAGCAGACCUCAUUGAUGUGGACCUAGUGAGAGGUAAGGAGGACACACCAGCUGUCUCAUUCACUCAGAUACUGUCUGUCCCAGUCCAACCAUGUUGGCUGUCUGUCCCAGUCCAACCAUGUUGGCUGUCUGUCCCAGUCCAACCAUGUUGGCUGUCUGUCCCAGUCCAACCAUGUUGGCUGUCUGUCCCAGUCCAACCAUGUUGGCUGUCUGUCCCAGUCCAACCAUGUUGGCUGUCUGUCCCAGUCCAACCAUGUUGGCUGUCUGUCCCAGGCCAACCAUGUUGGCUGUCUGUCCCAGGCCAACCAUGUUGGCUGUCUGUCCCAGGCCAACCAUGUUGGCUGUCUGUCCCAGGCCAAACAUGUUGGCUGUCUGUCCCAGGCCAAACAUGUUGGCUGUCUGUCCCAGUCCAAACAUGUUGGCUGUCUGUCCCAGUCCAAACAUGUUGGCUGUCUGUCCCAGUCCAACCUGUUGGCUGUCUGUCCCAGUCCAACCUGUUGGCUGAGCAGGAUGGUGCUACGUUAGUGUCAACGUAGAGUGUCUCCACUGGUCACAUGAUGCGAGCCAGGUGUAGAAGUCCAGUGAAGCUAGUAUCAAAAUGGCUCCUCUUUUGUAACAUCACUCUUUCUCCUGCCCUCUCUCUCUCUCUCUCUCUCUCUCUCUCUCUC